ACGAACGCUGGCGGCGUGCUUAACACAUGCAAGUCGAACGGAAAGGCCCUGCUUUUGUGGGGUGCUCGAGUGGCGAACGGGUGAGUAACACGUGAGUAACCUGCCCUUGACUUUGGGAUAACUUCAGGAAACUGGGGCUAAUACCGGAUAGGAGCUCCUGCUGCAUGGUGGGGGUUGGAAAGUUUCGGCGGUUGGGGAUGGACUCGCGGCUUAUCAGCUUGUUGGUGGGGUAGUGGCUUACCAAGGCUUUGACGGGUAGCCGGCCUGAGAGGGUGACCGGCCACAUUGGGACUGAGAUACGGCCCAGACUCCUACGGGAGGCAGCAGGGGGGAAUAUUGCACAAUGGGCGGAAGCCUGAUGCAGCAACGCCGCGUGCGGGAUGACGGCCUUCGGGUUGUAAACCGCUUUCGCCUGUGACGAAGCGUGAGUGACGGUAAUGGGUAAAGAAGCACCGGCUAACUACGU
rnacentral:rRNA from 1 species